rnacentral:rRNA from 1 species
GUAGGGUGCGAGCGUUAAUCGGAAUUACUGGGCGUAAAGCGUGCGCAGGCGGUUCGUUGUGUCGGUGGUGAAAGCCCCGGGCUCAACCUGGGAAUGGCCAUGGAAACUGGCGAACUGGAGUGUGGCAGAGGGGGGUGGAAUUCCGCGUGUAGCAGUGAAAUGCGUAGAGAUGCGGAGGAACACCGAUGGCGAAGGCAGCCCCCUGGGCUAGCACUGACGCUCAGGCACGAAAGCGUGGGGAGCAAACAGGAUUAGAUACCCUGGUAGUCCACGCCCUAAACGAUGUCAACUAGGUGUUCGGGAAGCGAUUUCUGGGUACCGUAGCUAACGCGUGAAGUUGACCGCCUGGGGAGUACGGCCGCAAGGUUA